rnacentral:snRNA from 1 species
GGAUGUGAGGGCAAUCUGGCUGCGACAUCUAUCACCCCACUGAUCGCCAGGGUUGAUUCGGCUGAUCUGGCUGUCUAGGCGGGUGUCCCCUUUCUCCCUCACCGCUCCAUGGGCGUCCCUCCUGAAGCUGCGCGCUCGGUCGAAGAGGACGACCAUCCCUGCAAGAGGAGGACCGUUGUUCGGUCAAGAGUAUACGAGUAGCUGCGCUCCCCUGCUAGAACCUCCAAAGAACUGCAAAAGAGGCCAGGCUCGGUGGGUCAGCCUGUAAUCCCAGCACUUU